GCAAAGUGUAUGGAAUUGCUCUUGUUGUGACACAUGCAUCUGACUUUGAUGCAGACAGCGUGAUUUCAGUUCCGUUUCUGUGACGAUGUGAAUGUCGAGUGUGAAUGUUUGUUCUGUAUCUAGAUGUGACCUGCGACUGACUGGUAACCAGUCCAGGGUGCAGUUUGGCUUUCAAGUGGAGUCAUCUGAGGCUCCUGCUCACCUUGUGCCCAAACAGGAUAAACAGCGUGGAAAAAGGAUGGUUCGAUGAAUGGAUCUGCUGAGAUAUACAGAUAGAGGGACGGGUCAAGGAGGCAGGAACCAAAGGCAGUCAGAAAACCCAAACCAAGGUGUACUGAAGGGCUGAGCGCGACCGCUGGGCAGCAGCGUGUAUGACAGGUAAGG